rnacentral:rRNA from 1 species
AUUGAACGCUAGCGGGAUGCUUUACACAUGCAAGUCGAACGAGUGGCGGACGGGUGAGCAAGAUAUCGGCACGUGCCUAGUAGCGGGGGAUAACUACUCGAAAGAGUGGCUAAUACCGCCUACUAUUGGAUCGGCCGAUAUCGGAUUAGCUAGUUGGGGGGGUAAAGGCGCACCAAGGCAACGAUCCGUAGCUGGUGUGAGAGGACGACCAGCCACACUGGAACUGAGACACGGCCCAGACUCCUACGGGAGGCAGCAGUGGGGAAUGUUGGACAAUGGGCGAAACCCUGAUCCAGCCAUCCCGCGUGUAUGAGAAGGCCUUCGGGUUGUAAAGUACUUUUGGCAGAGAAGCGGUAUCUGCAGAAUAAGCACCGGCUAACUACGUGCCAGCCGCCGCGGUAAUAC